rnacentral:rRNA from 1 species
CCCUUAGACGUUCUGGGCCGCACGCGCGCUACACUGACCAGUGCAACAAGCAUCCGUCCUUGGCCGACAGGCCCGGGCAAUCUUUGAACGCUGGUCGUGAUGGGGAUAGACUUUUGCAAUUUUUGGUCUUCAACGAGGAAUUCCUAGUAAACGCAAGUCAUCAACUUGCAUUGAUUACGUCCCUGCCCUUUGUACACACCGCCCGUCGCACCUACCGAUUGAAUGGUCCGGUGAAUCUUUAGGACUGUGGCUGAGGCCUUGCCUUGUGCGGGUCUGGCCGUGGGAAUUUAGUUAAACCUUACCAUUUAGAGGAAGGUGAAGUCGUAACA